rnacentral:rRNA from 1 species
AUGCACGCUGGCGGUAUGCUUAACACAUGCCAGUCGAACGGACUCUUCGGAGUUAGUGGCGGACGGGUGAGUAACGCGUGAGAAUCUGGCUUUGGGUUCGGGACAACCACUGGAAACGGUGGCUAAUACCGGAUGUGCCGAGAGGUAAAAGAGAAAUUGCCUGAAGAUGAGCUCGCGUCUGAUUAGCUAGUUGGUGAGGUAAAGGCUCACCAAGGCAGCGAUCAGUAGCUGGUCUGAGAGGAUGACCAGCCACACUGGGACUGAGACACGGCCCAGACUCCUACGGGAGGCAGCAGUGGGGAAUUUUCCGCAAUGGGCGAAAGCCUGACGGAGCAGUACCGCGUGAGGGAAGAAGGCUCUUGGGUUGUAAACCUCUUUUCUUAGGGAAGAACAAAAUGACGGUACCUAAGGAAUCAGCAUCGGCUAACUCCGUG